GCCGAUGUGGCGGAACUGGCAUACGCGUACGACUCAAAAUCGUAUGGACCUAGUCCAUGUGGGUUCGACCCCCACCAUCGGCA
rnacentral:tRNA from 1 species